rnacentral:rRNA from 1 species
UACGUAGGGGCGCAAGCGUUAUCCGGAAUUAUUGGGCGUAAAGAGCUCGUAGGCGGUUUGUCGCGUCUGCCGUGAAAGUCCGGGGCUCAACUCCGGAUCUGCGGUGGGUACGGGGCAGACUAGAGUGAUGUAGGGGAGACUGGAAUUCCUGGUGUAGCGGUGAAAUGCGCAGAUAUCAGGAGGAACACCGAUGGCGAAGGCAGGUCUCUGGGCAUUAACUGACGCUGAGGAGCGAAAGCAUGGGGAGCGAACAGGG